rnacentral:snRNA from 1 species
AAAUGUGAGGGCGAUCUGGCUGCAACAUGUCACGCCAUUUAUCGAGUUGAUUAGGCUGGCUGGGCAGGCGUCACCUUUCUCCCUCAUCACUCCAUGUGUGUCCCUGCUGAAGCCCGUGCUUUGAGGAAGAGGACCAUACUUCCCCAUUAGUAGACGUGUAGCUGCACUCCCCUGCUAGAAUCUCCAAACGAGCUCCAGGCCCAGUUGUAGGAGAAACAUAGGGAAGUCAAGCUCUAAGACAUAUAACACAUCCAAAUGAGCCACUGCAUGUGGCAGUCUAACAGCAAUU